rnacentral:rRNA from 1 species
UCGAUCUCAAAUCAGGUAGGAUUACCCGCUGAACUUAAGCAUAUCAAUAAGCGGAGGAAAAGAAACUAACAAGGAUUCCCCUAGUAACUGCGAGUGAAGCGGGAAGAGCUCAAAUUUAAAAUCCGGCGUGCCUUUGGUCGUCCGAGUUGUAGUCUGGAGAAGCGUCUUCCGUGUUGGACCGUGUACAAGU